UACGUAGGGGGCAAGCGUUGUCCGGAAUGACUGGGCGUAAAGGGAGUGUAGGCGGCUCAUCAAGUUAGAUGUGAAAUCCCGCGGCUUAACCGCGGAACUGCAUCUAAAACUGGUAAGCUGGAGUGCAGGAGAGGUGAGUGGAAUUCCUAGUGUAGCGGUGGAAUGCGUAGAUAUUAGGAGGAACACCAGAGGCGAAGGCGACUCACUGGACUGUAACUGACGCUGAGGCUCGAAAGCGUGGGGAGCAA
rnacentral:rRNA from 1 species